AUACUUACCUGGCAGGGGAGAUACCAUGAUCACUUAGGUGGUUUUCCCAGGGCGAGGCUCACCCAUUGCACUUGGGGUGUGUUGACCUCUGCGAUUUCCCCAAAUGCGGGAAACUCGACUGUAUAAUUUUUGUUAGUGGGGGACUGCGUUCGCGCUUUCCCCUC
rnacentral:snRNA from 1 species